CCUACGGGUGGCAGCAGUGAGGAAUAUUGGUCAAUGGGCGCGAGCCUGAACCAGCCAAGUCGCGUGAGGGAAGACGGUCCUAUGGAUUGUAAACCUCUUUUGUCGGGGAGCAAAAGACGCCACGCGUGGCGUUCCGAGAGUACCCGACGAACAAGCAUCGGCUAACUCCGUGCCAGCAGCCGCGGUAAUACGGAGGAUGCGAGCGUUAUCCGGAUUUAUUGGGUUUAAAGGGUGCGCAGGCGGAAGAUCAAGUCAGCGGUAAAAUUGAGAGGCUCAACCUCUUCGAGCCGUUGAAACUGGUGUUCUUGAGUGAGUGAGAAGUAGGCGGAAUGCGUGGUGUAGCGGUGAAAUGCAUAGAUAUCACGCAGAACUCCGAUUGCGAAGGCAGCAUACCGGCGCUCAACUGACGCUCAUGCACGAAAGUGUGGGUAUCGAACAGGAUUAGAUACCCUAGUAGUC
rnacentral:rRNA from 1 species